GCCGGACUUCCCUCUCCUCCGUUUGAAAUGCUCAGAGAUCCGUUCUCCUCCCUGCUCUGUGUAGCGAAAGCUCGACAAAUCCCGUCAAUGGCGGUCGCUGCUCUUUCCCGCUCUCUGGACUUCUCCCACCAUCGCCUCCCUCGGUUCGCUCUCUCUAGACUUAUACCCUACUCAUCAUCUCGCUUCAACUUCCUUGCCAGCCAUUUUCCUACUCAUCCCGCCAUCACCGUCCCCCUCUCCGGUACCUCCUCCGUAGCUAUAACCGCUCCCAGUAAGAGCAAAGGCUUCGUUUGGCUGAGACGCCUUAGCACCGCAAACCCCGGCGAUGACCCGAAACCCAAACGUAGAAACACCAAAGUCAACUUCUCUCUCUCCGACUCUGACUCAGACGCGGAGGAUGACGGCAGCGAGAAGGCGGAGGAGACCAAGCUUCCGCCACCCUAUGAUCCGUUCAACAAGAAGCCAGUCGUCGAGGAGCCCGAGGACCCAAAGAACCUGCAGGAGAUCUUCCACAAGAUGAGGACCGAGGGACUGACGAACCAUGCGGUCAAGAUGUUCGACGCAUUGUCCAAGGACGGCCGGACCCACGAGGCGCUGGAGCUGUUCGCCCAGAUCAAGGACCGGGGCCACAUGCCCGAUGUGGUCGCCCACACUGCUGUCAUCGAGGCGUAUGCCAAUGCGGGUGGGCAGAGCAAAGAUGCGCUCAAGGUGUUCAUGCGGAUGCUGGCAUCCGGCGUCAAACCGAAUGCCUACACGUACGCCGUGCUGAUUAGGGGGCUGGCGGGAGAUGGGAAGCUGGGGGAGGUGAAGAAGUACGUGAUGGAGAUGAUAGGGAAGGAGAUCAUGCCGAACCCAGGGACAUGCGUGUCGCUGUUUGAGGCCUUUGUUCGGGAAGGGCAGGAAGAGGAAGGUAGAGAGUUGUUGGAGGAGAUGAAGAGGAAAGGAUUUGUGCCGGAAGAGAAGGGUGUCAGGGAAGUGCUUAGAAGCAUGCGGGGCCCUGUGGUUCGAAGUGUUAUGGACAUUCUCUUUGGUAAAUAGCGCGACUGAUUGUGAAAUCCGAGGAGCAUACGAACUUGAAUGGCCAAUUUUGGAACAUCAAUGAUUCAAAGUCCUUUGAGGUAUUUCUGAUCAGAAACAUACGCAAGUUCUCCUGGUUGGUCAUGGAAUUAGUUCAGCUGAUCUGGAACCAUUGCUUUAAGUUGAUCCGACAGCCAUCGGAGUGGAAGUGUAGUCACCGAGAAUUGAAAACAGAAACUUCCAGCCAGUAAAUGGAAGUUCGUUAAUAUUGAAAAGGUACUUAAACAGAGCUUGAAGAAGCCUCCAAUGAUGAUUGUCCCGUAUUAAAAUUCGACUGGGGAACUGUCAAAACUGGAAAGAAAACACGGGACGGGACAUCUAAUAGGUUGUGAAGGAGCACUGGAGCAGCCCUUCUCCCGAAGGAGGGGAAACAACUGAUGAUCCUUGGAAAACUUGCACGAGGCAGUUCUAGCAGGCGGUACUCUGUCAUCAGACCAACCCCAUGCCCGACGCAGAGCCGCUAUAGCUAAUGCAGCCAUCUGUUCUUCAGUGUCCAAAAACUCUCGGUCUAUCGAGUUUGAGAUCACCACUUUUGGGGGCUUUUUAGAUGCUCUAUGCCCUGAUCUUCCACAAAAGAAACACGAUCCCCUGAAAGCUCCUGCAGCAAACGAAGGUAGUCUUUUCACAUUACUGUAAGAUACACGGAUUCAACAGAUGAAUGGAGAGAGAAUCUUACCUCUCGCGGGACGAGGACCUGUCGGAGGUCGUACCUCGUAUUAGCCAACCCUCACAGCUGCUGCUCGAUAGCUUAGAGCAGUUAUUCUUGGUUCUGUAACUUCGACUAUGUCUCCAUCAUCUUCCGAGUCAUGCCAGCUUCCCCAGCCUCGUGUUAGUUGACUGAACCUUCUCUGGCCUUUGAAGCCAUUGCAAGAAUCCCACUCUCUGAAAGUGAACCCUCCAUAGAAAUCACUCGGGGCCCGUCAUCUUGCAAACCACGCAGCUGCAGUUACAAAGAGCUCGAUUUAUUCGAUUGAGUUGCCAGAUACAACUUAAACCUGCUGGACUUGAAUUAGUCGAAUUGCUAACCUUGGUGACUUUCGAAAUGGUACUUUGUGGCGGCAUUUCUCGACUCA